rnacentral:rRNA from 1 species
UACGAAGGGGGCUAGCGUUGCUCGGAAUUACUGGGCGUAAAGGGAGCGUAGGCGGGUCGUCAAGUUGGGGGGGAAAGCCCAGGGCUCAACCUUGGAACUGCCUUCAAAACUGACGAUCUAGAGUAUGGAAGAGGUAAGUGGAACUCCGAGUGUAGAGGUGAAAUUCGUAGAUAUUCGGAAGAACACCAGUGGCGAAGGCGACUUACUGGUCCAUGACUGACGCUGAGGCGCGAAAGCGUGGGGAGCAAACAGG